AGGAAAAGAAACCAACAGGGAUUGCCCUAGUAACGGCGAGUGAAGCGGCAACAGCUCAAAUUUGAAAUCUGGCGCCAGCCCGAGUUGUAAUUUGUAGAGGAUGCUUCUGGGCAGCGGCCGGUCUAAGUCCCUUGGAACGGGGCGUCAUAGAGGGUGAGAAUCCCGUAUGCGACCGGCUGGCACCCGUCACGUAGCUCCUUCGACGAGUCGAGUUGUUUGGGAAUGCAGCUCUAAAUGGGAGGUAAAUUUCUUCUAAAGCUAAAUACCGGCCAGAGACCGAUAGCGCACAAGUAGAGUGAUCGAAAGAUGAAAAGCACUUUGGAAAGAGAGUUAAAAAGCACGUGAAAUUGUUGAAAGGGAAGCGCAUGCAACCAGACUUGUCGGCGGUGUUCCGCCGGUCUUCUGACCGGUUCACUCUCCGCCGGCAGGCCAGCAUCGUCUGGGGCCGCCGGAUAAAGGCGCGAGGAAUGUGGCUCCCUCGGGAGUGUUAUAGCCUCGCGCACAAUACGGCGCGCGCCGGGCGAGGUCCGCGCUUCGGCUAGGAUGCUGGCGUAAUGGUUGUCUGCGGCCCGUCUUGAAACACGGACCAAGGAGUCUAACAUCUAUGCGAGUGUUCGGGUGUCAAACCCCUACGCGUAAUGAAAGUGAACGGAGGUGGGAGCUCUCGCGCACCAUCGACCGAUCCUGAUGUCUUCGGAUGGAUUUGAGUACGAGCAUAGCUGUUGGGACCCGAAAGAUGGUGAACUAUGCCUGAAUAGGGUGAAGCCAGAGGAAACUCUGGUGGAGGCUCGCAGCGGUUCUGACGUGCAAAUCGAUCGUCAAAUUUGGGUAUAGGGGCGAAAGACUAAUCGA
rnacentral:rRNA from 1 species